UCAUGAACUGUGAUCGCAUCUGUCACAAAAUUUUUUUACAAGGAACAUCUAUUGAGAUUAUCAAAUAGUAGUUGUGCAAUUCUUCCCUGAGACUAAAGAUGAGCAAGUAUACGUUGAACAAUGGUCUGUCCAAUUUAAUGGGAACCCAAAAAAUGAGGUGCCCAUUGAGUUCAUGGCUUCUACGGAAUACCCUAAACUCAGUUUUGGUGGCAACAAUAAAGUUGAAUUCCCCACUGUACACCCAGGAUGCGAAGAGAUUGCCCCAGUAACUAUGCGGAAUAUUACAAGACAUUGCAUCAGAUACACAUUCUCCGAUAUUCCCUCUUCAUUAAAUGUGAAUCAAUCACGUGGAAUCAUUCAGGCUAA
rnacentral:misc_RNA from 1 species